rnacentral:tRNA from 1 species
ACUUUAGAAGCUUUUUAAGCAACGCUUUGAAGUCGCGUAGAAGUCUUUCCCUCUGACCUAAAGUA